UGCAUUGGCCGGGAAUCGAACCCGGGCUGCCCGUGUGGCAGGCGAGCAUUCUACCACUGAACCACCGAUGG
rnacentral:tRNA from 1 species